rnacentral:rRNA from 1 species
CGGCAAGACGGAAAGACCCCGUGAACCUUUACUAUAGCUUGACACUGAACAUUGAGCCUUGAUGUGUAGGAUAGGUGGGAGGCUUUGAAGCGUGGACGCCAGUCUGCGUGGAGCCGACCUUGAAAUACCACCCUUUAAUGUUUGAUGUUCUAACGUGGACCCGUAAUCCGGGUUGCGGACAGUGUCUGGUGGGUAGUUUGACUGGGGCGGUCUCCUCCUAAAGAGUAACGGAGGAGCACGAAGGUUGGCUAAUCCUGGUCGGACAUCAGGAGGUUAGUGCAAUGGCAUAAGCCAGCUUGACUGCGAGCGUGACGGCGCGAGCAGGUGCGAAAGCAGGUCAUAGUGAUCCGGUGGUUCUGAAUGGAAGGGCCAUCGCUCAACGGAUAAAAGGUACUCCGGGGAUAACAGGCUGAUACCGCCCAAGAGUUCAUAUCGACGGCGGUGUUUGGCACCUCGAUGUCGGCUCAUCACAUCCUGGGGCUGAAGUAGGUCCCAAGGGUAUGGCUGUUCGCCAUUUAAAGUGGUACGCGAGCUGGGUUUAGAACGUCGUGAGACAGUUCGGUCCCUAUCUGCCGUGGGCGCUGGAGAACUGAGGGGGGCUGCUCCUAGUACGAGAGGACCGGAGUGGACGCAUCACUGGUGUUCGGGUUGUCAUGCCAAUGGCACUGCCCGGUAGCUAAAUGCGGAAGAGAUAAGUGCUGAAAGCAUCUAAGCACGAAACUUGCCCCGAGAUGAGUUCUCCCUGAGACUUAGAGUCUCCUGAAGGAACGUUGAAGACGACGACGUUGAUAGGCCGGGUGUGUAAGCGCAGCGAUGCGUUGAGCUAACCGGUACUAAUGAACCGUGAGGCUUAACCUU